AUUCUUCGGAAAAGAAGAGGGUUAUGAGAGCGGCGAACGGGUGAGUAAUGUAUGGGUAAUUUGCCUUGAAGUUCGGGAUAGCCAUUCGAAAGGGUGGGUAAUACCGGAUGUGUUCGGGUGCCGCAUGGCACCUUAUAUAAAGAUGGGGAUCUUCGGACCUGUCGCUUCAAGAUAAGCCCAUAUCCUAUCAGCUAGUUGGUAAGGUAACUGCUUACCAAGGCUUACGGGUAGCCGACCUGAGAGGGUGACCGGCCACACUGGGACUGAGACACUGCCCAGACUCCUACGGGAGGCUGCAGUCGAGAAUCAUUGUCAAUGUACGAAAGUAUGAACAUGCGACGCCGCGUGGAGGACGAAGGCCUUCGGGUUGUAAACUCCUGUCAUGAGGGAGUAAGUGCAGGCGGGUGAAUACCCCGUUUGCUUGAUAGUACCUCAAGAGGAAGUCACAGCUAACUCUGUGCCAGCAGCCGCGGUAAUACAGAGGUGGCGAGUGUUGUUCGGAUUUACUGGGCGUAAAGGGUCCGCAGGCGGCCCUGUGUGUCAGAUGUGAAAUGCCACGGCUUAACCGUGGAAUGGCAUUUGAAACUACAGGGCUCGAGUACAGGAGAGGAGAGGGGAAUUCAUGGUGUAGCGGUGAAAUGCGUAGAUAUCAUGAAGAACACCGGUGGCGAAAGCGCCUCUCUGGACUGAUACUGACGCUCAUGGACGAAAGCGUGGGGAGCGAACGGGAUUAGAUACCCCGGUAGUCCACGCCCUAAACGAUGCGUGUUCGGUGUGGGGGGCAAUGUUCGAUCAACCCUCCGUGCCUUAGCUAACGCGGUAAACACGCCGCCUGGGAAGUACGGUCGCAAGAUUAAAACUCAAAGGAAUAGACGGGGACCCACACAAGCGGUGGAGCAUGGGGUUUAAUUCGAUACUAAGCGGGGCACCUCACCCAGGCUUGACAUCUUAGGAAUCUCCUGGAAACAGGGGAAUGCCGCAAGGAACCUAAAGACAGGC
rnacentral:rRNA from 1 species